rnacentral:lncRNA from 1 species
GAUAGAAAUGAUAGCAAAUAUAUUUUGUAAAUCAAUUAAUGAAUUGCAAACAUGAAAACACAACAGGGAACUGUCUUGCUGGACCAGAAAUAGCAAAGCAUUCCUAAGAGAAGGAUGCAGACAGGAAACCCAAAGUAAAUCAGUCUUGAAACCAUAAGCCAGGCUGCUCCUCUGUCAAGAAACUGUCUAAGCCCAAGACUUACUCAGAAGAGUACCAAUCAAGAAUUACCAAACAUCUGAGACAAUAAUACCGUGAAAGAAAGAAAAACAACUCAGCAAAUGAAAGUCCUUCCUAAGGAGGCAGUGUAGAUGGGAGGUAGAGGGCUGAGCCAUACCCUCCCUUAAAGAAUCCCAUGCGACCUGGGCAUGCCCACUUCCCAGUAGACUGGCUCUUCCCAGCAUGGUAACCAGUGGUGGUUGUGCUGAGCAAAUGCUUCUGUGAUUGGGGAGGUGCUGGCAGGGAUGUAGGCACACAAAGAUGCUGUGGAUAGUCUGGAUUUCUUGCUAACUUGGCCUGGGGUUUUGGAGCCUUGGGUCCAGGAUGCUCCUGGAAGAAGGGUCAGGUGGUGUGAUCCUAUCCCAUAGCUCCUUAAUCUUCCCUAUAUCCUAGUACCCAGAUUUUAAAAAAUAGGGCUCAGGCUGGGCUCUGAGGUGAGGGAAGAGGAAAGUUGGGGCUAGCCAGGGCCCUGAGGCAUGGGCGGGGCGUGGUGUGACAUGGUAAGGGGUGGGAGUGGGCAGGAGAGACUGCCUGGGUGAGGCUUGCCUCAGAUGGAGAAGCCUGACCUGGAUCCACUUGCUGCCUGUAGGAGCUCAGUCGCCAAAACCUGUCUGGCCUAAAGACAGGCACAGUUUGAUUUAAUAGUUGGUACUGACCUCACUUGAACAUUAAAUCAAUAAAUGCCAACUUAAUGGAGCUGUUGCUGGGAAACUAAGGAGUAUCAAAUAUCCAAUAUCUGCACAGAGGAGAUUGUUUUGAUCUGUUUUGUUUUUCUAAAGCUGCAACUUGCUCCUUGGUGCACUUUAGGUUAUUCCUUUUUGGUAGGAAAGUGGCUCCCACACUCUCCUCUCCACCCACCCUUUGAAGAGGCUUGGAAAUGCACUCAGCAGCUGCCCCCAUGAUAAGCCGAAGGGCCUGUCCUGUCCAGGUUGGCAGGUCCUCCCAGCAGGCAGAGUGAGGAGUUCAUGAAUGAGGGAGGAGACUAUGGUGUCUCAGAAGGAAAACUCUAGAGGAAAAACACUUGAGUAACAAUGCCCAGUUCAACCUCUGGAUCUCUCUUGCAGCUUGCUGAGGCUCUAUUUCCAGCUGAACUGUGUAGCUCUCAGCGUGGGUGCCUUUUAUCCAUCACUGGUGUCAUGCCAGGUCAUCUUCAUCUUUUCUUAGCUAACUGAGGAGGACAGUCAUCCAAGCUGGGGUCUCCUCUCCUGUGUGUCUCUCCUAGGGAUGGAGUUGCCAGGCUUUGUGCUUGUUUUACUUCUUCUCCAGCCUUUCCUUCCCCUCCCUUUCCUGUUCCCUAGGUUGGUCAUAGCAGAGGUUGUGUGGGAAAAAGAGGACAAUCCCCAUGUUCUUCAACACGGCUGCCGCAAACACUACCCAGAAACAGGCUGGGAAUGGGGACUUGAAUGCCAGCUGUGGGGUGCCUGCCUUGCAGCCAGCUCUGCCAAAGCUUGUGGUUAUGAUUGUCUCCUUUCUUCUGCUUCACAGCCAGUCAUAAAUGCCAUCUUCCUUGGAUGUCUGAGUCCCUUGGAAACUGGGCUCUGAACUCGAUUCCACUGGGGUUAACCAUGGGCUAUGCUAUCAGAAUUUCCACCUAGGCCUCCAGUUUCCUUAGAGCAAAAGGAAAACAAAUUGUGAAAGGGGAGUAGCAGAGUGGGAAGGUGGUCUAAGGACAGCUGUUCUGACCUGAGUAAUAUUACAUCCCUGAUGGGAGGCAGCAAGUGCAGCACCUUCCACACCUGAAACCAUCACUUAAAUAGCGCUUCAUGGUUUGGGGACUGUGACAGUUUCCUAGGGGGCUAUAACAGAGUACUGUAAACUGGGUGGCUUAAAACAACAGAAAUUUAUCAUCUCACAGUUCUGGAGGCCAGAAGUCCAAAAUUAAGUUGCUGGCAGUUGGUUCCUUCUGAGAGUUCUGAGGGAGAAUCUUUUCCUUGCCUCUCUCUUAGCUUCUGGUAAUCCCAGACAUUCCUUGGCUUAUUGAUGCUUAUAGAUGUCCUUUGAAUAGUAGACGCAAUCCUCCAUUUUCAUAUGGUGUUCUCCUUGGGUCUCUUUCUUCAUGUCUGUCUUCUGUUAAAGAUACCAAUCAUAUUGAAUUAGAAGUCCACCUACUCCAGUAUAACCUCAUCUUAUCUAAUUAAAUCUUCAACAACCCUAUUUCUAAAUAAUGUUACAUUCUGAGGUUCUGGGAUUAGGACUUCAACAUAUCUUUUUUUAGGGGAUAUAUAGUUCAACCCAUAAUGGAGAUCAAAGGCUGAAGGAUUUUAUCUUAAGGAUACAGGAGUAUCUUGUGGAAUACGAGGGAAGGCAUACAGCUGGGCCUUUGGAGAGAACUUGGAAGCUAUCAGGACCCUGGCAGCUUCUUUCUGCCCAGAUGCUUCAUUCUCUCUCUCUGCAAUCCUCCUUUUUCUGCUUCUUAGUGUACCCAGUGGGAAGAAAGUGGUGUCUCUACAACCUCCCGGUUUUGAUCUUCUUCAUUCAAGGGACCAGCCUAAUUUAAAUGUGCAAGGAAAGAAAGCUGAUUGAUCCAGCUUGAGUCAGAUUUCCACCCCCUAAUCAAUUGUGUUCAGUGUGUGUGGGGGAAGGGGGCAUACACCAGAAACAACAUACCCAGAGGAGAAGGAUCCAGUAUGUGUCAGUUUUAAUCUCCUGCAAGUGUAAAAGCUCCCUAGAAUCAUCCUAAGGAUCAUUUUAUCCUAAGACCUUCAUUUUGCAGAUAAAUGGAAGUCUCAAAAAGUUAAAGAGUUUGAGAUCUCACCCAUACAGACUGUGUAGUAUCCCUGUGUUGGGCACCAUUCUUGCACAUGGUAGGUGCUUUGUGAAUAUUUGUCAGGAAAACCAAAAAGAAUGAAACAUAAGAGAACAACAAGAAAAAGAAUCUUUACCUUUACCCUUUCUCUUGGAGGAAUAUUUGACUUCUUAUUCUUGUGAAAUCUGGGAGAUUAGGAAAAAAGCUUCUGAAAUGAAGGUUAUUUCAGAAGUAAUUUUUAUGGGAGAGCUUCCAGAAUUCUUAGCCUCAGUAAUGAUAAUGGCUAACAUUUUGGAGCAGCUACCAUCUGCCAGGCUUGGCAGUGCUAAGUGCAUUGUCCCUUUUAAUCCUCGCAUGAACUCUUUGGAAUAGGUACUAUAGGUGCUGAGCCUGGCUCUUCAGAACAAUAAGCAUCCUGACAAAUGACUGGUCCCUUGAAGACAGUACCAGGUCUUAUUCUUUGCACUUGGCCGGAGACUAGCCAGAUGCUGAGGUGUGCUCAGUAAAUGGGGAUCAUGGCUGAGAGGCCCUUGCAGGAAGCUAGAACCUCACACACUUCCUCUGGUUCCAGAGCAGGGGUGUGUAGAAUCUGUAGGGAGACACUGGUGGGUGUUUUCACAGGAGACUGUAGUGCCCAAGCAGCUUUAAAAGGGCUAAGGGAAUUUUCUGGGAUGCUCUACGCUUAUGUGGGAGCUGACUUUGCUUUGGGCCAAAAAUCUGUGGGUGGUGUUCAGAUCUCCUUCUAUGUUCUUGUAAAUAAAAAACCUUUGAAAUGCAGCAAAUGCUCACGUAAAUAUAUCCCAGUCAAGAUACAGAACAUUUCCAUCAUGCUAGCAAGUUCCUUCCUGCCUCUUUCUGGUUAGUCUCUCCUGUCUCCUGCUCAGAGGCGAUGUUCUGAUUCUACCAAUUUGUUUUGUCUGAUGAUCACGAGUCAGUAUUGCCUCUUCUAGGACUUUAAAUAAAUAAAACCAUACAAUAUAUCACCUUUUGUGUCUGACUCCUUUUGCUCAAACUACUAAGUCAGCCAUGCUAUUACAUGUAUCAAUAGUUCAGUCCUUAGCCGGGCAUGGUGGUGCACACCUGUGGUCCCAGCUACUUGGGAGGCUGAGGCAGGAGUAUCACUUGAACCCAGGAGGCGGAGGCUGCAGUGAGCUGAGAUGGGGCCACUGCACUCCAGCCUGGGUGAUAGAGUGAGACUUGGUCUCAUGAAAAAAAAAAAAAUCAGUCCUUUUUUUAAUGCUGAGUUGUAUUCCAUUGUAUGAAUAUAUCAUAUCCUCUCACCAGUUGAUGAAUGUUCAUAUCAUUUCCAGUUUGGAGCUAUUAUAAAAAUAACUGCUUAAGUCUGUAUUUUUUAAACAAACAUCCAGCUAAUUCUGAUGCAGGUGGACCACAUGUUGAGAAACACUGCUCUAACACAGAGAAUUGAAGCUUAUUGCCCAAAGCCACAUAACCAAGAAGGCUUUGACGCCAGAGCGUGGAUUCAAGAGCCCAUGCUUUUCCUACUUGGACAGUAGAUGUCAAGGAAGGUGGUCUGAUUGAGCAACUUUACUCUCCACAUGGAUGUCUAACGGCUAUUUAAUCUUCCUAGAGAUGCUUCCAGUUUUCCAAAUUAGUUUAGAUUACAUGAAUCUCUAAUUAGUGGAAUUUACUGUAACAAGAUAAAAUGGAAAAAAAGGUGAUGAGAGAUAUUUUGGGGCAAGUACUCUCACUGAUUCUGACUUUUUUUCAGAUUCUCCCCCUAGGAUUAAUAAUCUAGAUUAUUCUGGAUUUUUAUAACUUUUUGGGUCUUUUAAAGAUCCCUCCCUGCUUCUUUUUUUCCCACAACUACCGCCAUAAGCCUGGUUGAGAAGGGGCUAUCUGAGUGAGCACAGCCAUAGGCG